GGGUAAGUAGCUCUAUGGUAGAGCAUGUGCUUAGCAAGUACAAAGCCUUGCCUU
rnacentral:tRNA from 1 species